rnacentral:miRNA from 1 species
UCACUUGAGGAUCUGGUUAAAAUGCAGGUUCUGAUCCCAUAGGUCUGAGAUCCUGCAUUUCUAACAAGCUCCCAGGUGAUGC